rnacentral:rRNA from 1 species
AUGCUCCGGUUGGAGAGCUUAUUUCCAGCGUUGGAGGUCUUUUCAGUUUUUCUAAAGCAGGUUCUACGUUCUCCUGUGUUGCUGCAUCUUGGUCUUCUGUUGCUUGAGGCCGUGGCACCGAUAUUCUCUCUGAUAGUACCCAAGUUCCAAUUCAAGGGAGCCAACAAGCGCGGCAUCCCUGUGUCCCGCGACCCCGCCGCGCUGCUAGCGAAGUACUCUGACCCGCUGGUCUACACGGUGCCGAUCAGGGUCCGUACAGGCCAUGAGAUCCUGCGCAUCUCCUCCUACCUGCUGCACAACCUGAAGAAGGUGACGGUCCCGUUCGUGGUCCUGCACGGCACCGCGGGCCGUGUGACGGACCCGCUGGCUUCACAGGAGCUCUACACGGAGGCCGCGUCGAGGCACAAGGACCUGCGUCUGUACGAGGGGUUCCUGCACGACCUGCUCUUCGAGCCCGAGCGCGACGAGAUCGCGGCCGACAUCAUCGGGUGGAUGGACCGGACGCUCGGCCUGCAAGCCGUAUGA